ACCCGAUCUUGAGGAAGGCGCGUUCAGCCGCCGUUCUGGGCGGCGAUCGCGAUCGUCAGCGUGUCACUCGCGGUCUGCUUCGCGAACUCGGUC
rnacentral:tRNA from 1 species